AAGUUAGAUCAUGAAUGUCCCUUGGGGAGACUGACUUCGCCAACUUCAGGGAAUAUAGAUAGACAGACCUGUCUGGAAAAGAAAAAGGAGAUCACUAAGUGGUUUACAGAAUCACAGUGUAGGAUUCUACGUACUUGCUGCAACAGCUCUGCAUCCUUCUUUUGCUGGGGUCCUCAGAUAUGGACACAGUAUCCCAUACAAAGCCUCAUGAGGGCAGAGCACAUGGGAAACACUCACCUCCUUCUCCCAGCUGGCCAUUCCUCUUUUGAUGCAGCCCAGGAUAGAGUUGGCCUUUCAGGCUGUGGAUACGCACUGCUGGCUUUGUCCAGUUCUUUGUCUGCCAAGACCCCCUAGUCCUUCUCCACAGGGCUGCCUUCAACAAGUUCUUCUCCUGGUCUGUACAUGCCUGGGACCUUGCACUUGGUCUUGUGGCACCUCAUUAGAUUCACAUAGGCCUAGUUUUCGUGCCUGUCUAGGUCCCUCUGGAUGGCAUUCUUUCCUUCUAUUUUAUCAGCUAUGCUAUUCAGCUUCGUGUCAUCUGCCAACUUGCUGACAGGGCACUGAAUCCUACUGUCUGUGUCAUUGAGAAAGAUACUGAAGAGCACUGGUCCAAAGAGAGAUACCUGGGGGACAGCAUUCAUGACCAGCCUCCACCUGGACAUACAGCUACUGACAACAAUUUGCAUGUGUUCAGAUUUCUAAAAGUGUUUAUUUCCCUGAGGACAAAUUAUUCAAAUUUUCACAAUUUAGGAAGGAUAUAUUUGUAUAAUAGCUUAUUAAAAUAAAAAAUAUAUAUUCAUAACAAGU